rnacentral:rRNA from 1 species
AGAGUUUGAUCAUGGCUCAGAGUGAACGCUGGCGGUAGGCCUAACACAUGCAAGUCGAACGGCAGCACAGGGGAGCUUGCUCCUUGGGUGGCGAGUGGCGGACGGGUGAGGAAUACAUCGGAAUCUACUCUGUCGUGGGGGAUAACGUAGGGAAACUUACGCUAAUACCGCAUACGACCUACGGGUGAAAGCAGGGGAUCUUCGGACCUUGCGCGAUUGAAUGAGCCGAUGUCGGAUUAGCUAGUUGGCGGGGUAAAGGCCCACCAAGGCGACGAUCCGUAGCUGGUCUGAGAGGAUGAUCAGCCACACUGGAACUGAGACACGGUCCAGACUCCUACGGGAGGCAGCAGUGGGGAAUAUUGGACAAUGGGCGCAAGCCUGAUCCAGCCAUACCGCGUGGGUGAAGAAGGCCUUCGGGUUGUAAAGCCCUUUUGUUGGGAAAGAAAUCCAGCCGGCUAAUACCUGGUUGGGAUGACGGUACCCAAAGAAUAAGCACCGGC